rnacentral:rRNA from 1 species
UACGGGGGGAGCAAGCGUUGUUCGGAUUUACUGGGCGUAAAGGGCGCGUAGGCGGCCAGCGCAAGUCAGUUGUGAAAUCUCCGGGCUUAACUCGGAAAGGUCAACUGAUACUGCGCGGCUAGAGUGCAGAAGGGGCAACUGGAAUUCUCGGUGUAGCGGUGAAAUGCGUGGAUAUCGAGAGGAACACCUGCGGCGAAGGCGGGUUGCUAGGCUGACACUGACGCUGAUGCGCGAAAGCCAGGGGAGCGAACGGG